rnacentral:lncRNA from 1 species
AAAAACCAAGGCUCUGUAGCAUCUCUAGCUGGAUGCAGUACUUUGCAGAGGAGCCCAUUCUAGCAGAAUGAAGACUGGAAAUGAGACCGUUACCAUGGAAACUUUCCCAAGUGACCUUCAGGUUCUGUAGAUAGUUCCAGGAUGACUAGUAUUCUAAAAUAUAUUUGCAAUGUGCUCCAUCAACUGACUACUUUCAAUCUGAGUAUAAGACAAGUCCCAGUGAAGCUUAAGCCCAUGUGAACCAGAACAUGAAUGAAAUGGGAAAUACGAUUACAGAGAAAUGCCAUGGAAGGGAUCUACACACUAAUGAUACCACAGCACAAAACAUUUAAACUCUGCCCAGUGAACAGAGGACAAAACUAGUUAAAGAGAACAUAUCUGUCAUUUGGGGGAAAAUAUUUACUCAGAUUCUUUUGAGAAAAUGCAGAAACAUAUUGUGAAUUGAAUAUCAAACUUACAUUGGAUAGUUUACAUACAUUAUCCUAUUUAAUUAUGGCCACAACUUUGUGAAGCAAAUGUUAUUACUUUUUGAAAAAUAAGAUACUAAGUUGCAGAGAAAUAAUCAGCAAACUCAAAAUUGGCAACUGAAGGGUCAAGAACUUCAGUCCAUGUAGUGGAACCAACAUGAACCAACACGUAGCUCCUAUGACAGGUUUGAAAAACCGAAACACCAUCUCUGCAUCAUCUAUCUUCCAAAUUAAAAUAUGCCAACAAACACAUGUCAGGAGACAUACAGGCAGAAACACAAUGGCCUGACUAUAUUUAUGGGUAUUUUAGGGAAUAUGCCAGAAGCAGUAAUUUUAAGGUCAAUAUUAUUACUCCAGUUGUACAGGAGAAAUAGCUUCCCUCACUUGUGUGAAGUAUAAGAUACUUUGCCAGCUAUAUUUAAACAAAAAGGUCUAACUUGUUACUUGGUAUAGUAUUCUAUUUGUCUAUAUUCAGGGGAUGGAGUGCCAUUUGAGAUUCCAAAAGUGGCCUUCAAGGGAGAAAAAGGACACAUGCAGAAGCCAGUAAACACUGGUGUUAUUCUCCUAUAUAAUCCCUAAGGGAUGACACUUUUAAUUCGGAAUAAAACAGUGCCCAAACUAAGGUUGUCUCCAGCUUGGAACAACUUGCCAAAAAUUCAAUGCAAUAAUUUCAAAUGUAAAUAAUGGAAGAGCUCAGUCAUCCACUGGUUCCAUGAGGACACCUAAAUUUAAGUGGGGCCUCAACAGAGUAAGAUAACACCACUAGGCUUCAGAGGCAGAACUGGCCAAUUGUUGGCAAGUUAUAUUGAAGAGAUCUUUAGCCCAACCUGGGAAAAUGGGAGGAGUCUACUCAUGUACAUGGAGCCUGGACUUAUAGGUAAGGGAUAGUGUGAGGGUGCAUGCUCAGAAACUCAAACAAGUAGAAGGCUUGAUUUCCACUGGAUCCAAGUCAGGUUAACAGAAAACCUUCAGGGUAAAAGCAUUGGCAGCAUGGAGGUGAGGAAGCAGAGCUCGUGCCUGGCACAUAGAUCAGUCAGUAUGCUGAAGAUUCUAAUCUUGGAUCAGAGAAGCAAGGAUGGGUGAAGUGACUUGCUCAAGAGUCAAACUGUGGCAAAUUC